UAACCCGACAUGCACAAACAAAAAAUCAAAUAGAACAAGUUGUCUUACAACUUUAGGCCGUGCACGCCACACACAAGAACAAGAAUGGAGCGGCUG